CCUUAUGAUGGGGAAGGUAGUAUGGUAAACCUAAUUGAUUUGGCGGUGUCAGGAACUGUUUAGAGGAAUCUGUCCUUUAAUUGAAAGUGCACAAUAAAGUUUUCCUUUAAUUAGUGGCUUGUAUACCUCCGUUGUCAGUGGUCUAUUUAUUUAGAUUUCGUUUUAAUUGAUGGAGUUGACUUCAGGUCAAGGUGCAGUCUAUGUAGGGGAUGAGAUGGAUUACAUUGAAUAUCUUUAUACGAAAAUUAUUUUGUAAUUAUAGUUGAAGGUGGAUUUAAGAGUAAUUAGGUAUUAGUAAGAUUAGUUGAAUAAGGCUCUGUGAUAUGU
rnacentral:rRNA from 1 species